rnacentral:rRNA from 1 species
AUUGAACGCUGGCGGCGUGCCUAACACAUGCAAGUCGAGCGGUAACAGGUGUAGCAAUACAUGCUGACGAGCGGCGAACGGGUGAGUAAUGCUUCGGAAUCUGCCCAUGUAGUGGGGAAUAACCAGCCGAAAGGUUGGCUAAUACCGCAUACGACCCUUGCCCACAAGGCAAAGGUAGGAAAGGACAGGGGAGUCGCAAGACCUUGCGCUAUUGGAUGAGCCGAAGUCGGAUUAGCUAGUUGGUAGGGUAACGGCCUACCAAGGCGACGAUCCGUAGCUGGUCGUGAGA